UAUAUAUUUAUAUAAAGUUAAAAACCAAGAUAUUGAUGGUCUGUUUGUGAAUAUUUAUUUAUUUGAAGAUUAUGUUUAGCUGUGUUUUUACACUAUUGCCUGGAAUGGAGCUAAUUAUUAUAAGCCUAUUAGAACCUAUGGUAAUGGCUAACUCUAGGCCUUGAUGACUUUAGUUAUAUUGUUAAACGUGAUGAGUUUACUCCUGGCUUGGUAUAUUUCUGGGAUUUGUUUCUGUGCGAUAUCACCAAAGGCCAAAGCAAUCAAAUGGUACAGUUAAACAUCCCUUCCUCUGCUGUCUGUGGUUCUAUCCUCCACUACAAGGUGUUUUAGGCUGUAGAGGCGUGUUCUAUCCUUUAUUACAAGGUGUUUUAGGCUGUAGAGGCGUGUACUAUCCUCUAUUACAAGGUGUUUUAGGCUGUAGAGGUGUGUACCUAUCUGGUACAGAACCUGAAGAAGCCAAUUGUAAUCAAGGUUUAUGUGAUAUGACUACUUUACUUUCAGCACGUGUGAACCAGGCAUGGAGAACCCGAGUGGUUACGAGGUGACGCAAGUCUGCCCUGUAUACAAUAACAUACCUAGUUUAUACAUUAACGACUUGCUGUGACAGUCUUAGCACCAGACAAAAACAGCAUUAUAUGCUUAACUUUCACCUAUAAGCAAAUUAAUUCUAAAGUCUUGGACAUUUUUUAUGGUUUAUGUAACCAUGAAAGUGACCACGGAAUAAAAGAAGAAAAAGAAAUAUGAAACACAAAUUCCUUCUAAAAGAUAUCGGAGAAGUCCUGUUUAGUGUAUACAGUAGAUUGAAACAUUUCUUCAGAUGUAGGAGGAGGUCUGAUUUAAUGUUAAGACACUGCUUUAUAGAGCUUUGGUCAUAGACAUUAUAUAUUAUGUAAUCCCAACACAGGCCUAUUGUAUAACCUUGGGAGAAGGUAUCAACAGCCAUAUCUCUGUUCCUUGUUACUAAAUACAGACAAUUUCUUAAACAAAUAUACACUGUUCCUUUACAUUUGAACAAGUAUAUCACUUGCAUGUUUACAUGAGAUAUCUAAAUAUAUAUUAACCAAUUGAAAAAAGUAUAAAUUAAUGCCUAUCUGAUCCCAAUGUCACAUUGCAUUACCUGCUUACUUAACAAAAAUGUGAUUUCAAAUGAAGUUAAAAAAACUUCUUGAUAAGUGCAACAUUUAUUACAGAUGUUCUGAAAUGAUCACAAAGAAAUGUUAAAAUACAAAUGAAUGUUCUUUUCACAACAUAAAAAAUGUUCAGAAAGUAUAGUGAUUUAUUUAAAUGCCUCCAUAAUGAAUGCUUUAUUGAAAAUAUUGCAAAAUGAUGUCAAAAUAUGUUCUAAAGACUCCUAAAUGAAUGAUAUUUUAUAAUAUUCCAAAGUGAUUAAAAUUCUCCUAUACCAAUUAUGACAAAUGCUAGAAAGUAGAAAUAGAUAUAAAACUAAACACAUCUAGGCUUAAAUUUAGGAGUCCAUUUUUGUACCGGGAGUGUAAACAUUGAAUUUGAUAAUGAAAAUGUCUGAUGGUGCAUUUUGAUUUAAAAUUAUUAGUUUUGAUAGUUAGGAAUGUUUUAGUGUUUUAUGAACUAAUUUUUUAAGAAUUUAUUAUGAAUGUAUUUUUGUCAUUUUCACCUAUCUAACCUCUAAUUUCACAGUUAUCUCCCCUUUUCCCUAUCUCCUGCCCAG